GUUAAUAAUGGACUUAAGUGUUUGGAUACCUCUAGAUGCCAUUUACUUUGAUAAAGCAUGUGCUUAAAGUGGUAUCACCAGGACAUGAAACCUGAAUUUUUUUUAAAAGCCUGAUUAAAAUAUCCUUUAACAUUUUUAGUUUAUGCAUGACUUGUGGCCUUUUUGUAUUUUAUCAUCAAGGUGUACUCUAUAUCAAGACUUCUAGAACUGUAAAAUUUCUCCCAUAGCAUUAACGUGUGUCAGAGUAGAAUAGUAGCGUAAAUAAAUGAUUUAAGCUGUGUUUCCAUCCAGGCAUUUGCACUUUCAUGACUGCCCAAUGCCACAUGGAAAGACUGAAUUUGGCCUAAAUAAUUCUUUGCAAAAUACCAGCUUUGGAAUGGUUCAACAGUUUGUUCUCAUUGGAUAGAUGAUAUAAGGUGUACGUGACCAUUUAAAACAUUUGAUAACUUUUGUUGCGUUACUGUUUUUAAAAACACAAUGACACAUUUCAAAACUCUGUUAACCUGGAUAUCAUUUAUUAUCUCUCCUAACAUAACUUGUUUUGCUUUAAACUGAAUUAAGUGGCUUACAAAUUAUCUUGAUCCACAGAUUAUUUGGUUUUUCUAUCAUCUGGACAUGAUUUUGCUAUGCAGUUCUGAUAAUAAAAACUCUAAUUCCUCAGGUUUAACAUUUAAGUUAAAGAUGAACAUUAAUGAACUACUUACAAUGUACGCAGUGCUGAAAACUAGUGUUUUAUAAUAAGCAUUUUGCCUCAUUUUUUUGGAAACAAGACAAAGCUUUUAAAAUGGUUUCUGAAAUUUCAAAAUAGAGUAUUCAAGAUAGAGUACCUUGUAUGUUGAAAUAAUUGUAUGUUCUGUAUAGAAUAACCAAAUUCUUAAAAAAGCACCUGGAAUAUCUCAUCUAAAAAUUAAACUUUUUUUUCUUGCU
rnacentral:lncRNA from 1 species